UGUUUGGACGAGGGGCCCCUCUCGGGUUACCGAAUUCAGACAAACUCCGAAUGCCAAUUAAUUUAACUUGGGAGUCAGAACAUGGGUGAUAAGGUCCGUGUUCGAAAGGGAAACAGCCCAGACCACCAGCUAAGGUCCCAAAAUAUAUGUUAAGUGGAAAAGGAUGUGGCGUUGCCCAGACAACUAGGAUGUUGGCUUAGAAGCAGCCAUCAUUUAAAGAGUGCGUAAUAGCUCACUAGUCGAGUGACACUGCGCCGAAAAUGUACCGGGGCUAAACAUAUUACCGAAGCUGUGGAUUGUCCUUUGGACAAUGGUAGGAGAGCGUUCUAAGGGCGUUGAAGCAUGAUCGUAAGGACAUGUGGAGCGCUUAGAAGUGAGAAUGCCGGUGUGAGUAGCGAAAGACGGGUGAGAAUCCCGUCCACCGAUUGACUAAGGUUUCCAGAGGAAGGCUCGUCCGCUCUGGGUUAGUCGGGUCCUAAGCUGAGGCCGACAGGCGUAGGCGAUGGAUAACAGGUUGAUAUUCCUGUACCACCUAUAAUCGUUUUAAUCGAUGGGGGGACGCAGUAGGAUAGGCGAAGCGUGCGAUUGGAUUGCACGUCUAAGCAGUAAGGCUGAGUAUUAGGCAAAUCCGGUACUCGUUAAGGCUGAGCUGUGAUGGGGAGAAGACAUUGUGUCUUCGAGUCGUUGAUUUCACACUGCCGAGAAAAGCCUCUAGAUAGAAAAUAGGUGCCCGUACCGCAAACCGACACAGGUAGUCAAGAUGAGAAUUCUAAGGUGAGCGAGCGAACUCUCGUUAAGGAACUCGGCAAAAUGACCCCGUAACUUCGGGAGAAGGGGUGCUCUUUAGGGUUAACGCCCAGAAGAGCCGCAGUGAAUAGGCCCAAGCGACUGUUUAUCAAAAACACAGGUCUCUGCUAAACCGUAAGGUGAUGUAUAGGGGCUGACGCCUGCCCGGUGCUGGAAGGUUAAGAGGAGUGGUUAGCUUCUGCGAAGCUACGAAUCGAAGCCCCAGUAAACGGCGGCCGUAACUAUAACGGUCCUAAGGUAGCGAAAUUCCUUGUCGGGUAAGUUCCGACCCGCACGAAAGGCGUAACGAUUUGGGCACUGUCUCAACGAGAGACUCGGUGAAAUCAUAGUACCUGUGAAGAUGCAGGUUACCCGCGACAGGACGGAAAGACCCCGUGGAGCUUUACUGUAGCCUGAUAUUGAAAUUCGGCACAGCUUGUACAGGAUAGGUAGGAGCCUUUGAAACGUGAGCGCUAGCUUACGUGGAGGCGCUGGUGGG
rnacentral:rRNA from 1 species